rnacentral:rRNA from 1 species
AGAGUUUGAUCAUGGCUCAGAGCGAACGCUGGCGGCAGGCUUAACACAUGCAAGUCGAACGGGCGUAGCAAUACGUCAGUGGCAGACGGGUGAGUAACACGUGGGAACGCACCCUUUGGUUCGGAACAACACAGGGAAACUUGUGCUAAUACCGGAUAAGCCCUUACGGGGAAAGAUUUAUCGCCGAAGGAUCGGCCCGCGUCUGAUUAGCUUGUUGGUGAGGUAAUGGCUCACCAAGGCGACGAUCAGUAGCUGGUCUGAGAGGAUGAUCAGCCACACUGGGACUGAGACACGGCCCAGACUCCUACGGGAGGCAGCAGUGGGGAAUAUUGGACAAUGGGCGCAAGCCUGAUCCAGCCAUGCCGCGUGAGUGAUGAAGGCCCUAGGGUUGUAAAGCUCUUUUGGCGGGGAAGAUAAUGACGGUACCCGCAGAAUAAGCCCCGGCUAACUUCGUG